ACCUCGGUAGGGCAUGCACAGACCUUCCUGUGUGCAGCGGGCUGAUUCGUCAUAUUCCGUGGGACUGGGGACCUCAGUAGGGUGUGGGCAGACCUGUCUGUCUGCAGUGGGGUGAUUCGGCAUGUUCUGUGCAACUCAGGACCUCGGUAGGGCAUCAAAAACUUUGUUUUUAAAGGAUUUUAUUUUCACCUCUUCCUUGGGUAAUUAGAAAACUAUCUUGGAGACAAAAGUGUUGAUAUAAUUAACAUGAUUGACUUUGUGAGCAAGACAUGAAAGCCCAGAGUAUAUUUGUCAGCACUAGGUAAGUGGAUUUUAACUUUGUCCUUCUAGUCUUGCCUUCUGGAAUUGACGGGGUGCACUACCUGCCCAUUUACUACGCUGGAAAUCAUUGCCUGCAAGAUGGACCCAUGGUCCCUAGGGCGACUUGGGAAGGCUUUGCAGUUCAGCAGAUUGCUUUUUCUUAUCCUCGAUUAUUGCAGCAAGCUGCACCUCGAUGGCAACUAUUUGCAGUGCUCUGGAUCUCUGGCUCUGCUCAGGCCCUUAGCGGAGUAUGCAGAGAUGCAGGGGAAAGAACCGCCAGCCACAGCCUCUCCUGACACGAGAAAUCCCACUCAGCAGCUCCACAAAAUCAAGAAUAAAAAGCGCUUGACUGAAGCUGGUCCUUGGUUAGUGAAGUUACAUUUGGCAGAUAAUGGAAUAGAUGGCAAAGGAGAAGAAGGAGAAAGCUUGUUGGAAUUUACUCAAAUGCUGACAUGCCUGAUCAAAUACUCUGCCCAUGUAAGGGAAAUUGACCUUGGGAACAACAUCCUGGGAGAAAUGGCUGCUGCUCAUAUCCUUGGAGCCCUGAGAGCCAGAAAGACAGGUAAACUACCAGUCUUAAAAAUUACAGUCACUCCCCAGAUCUCUUCCGAUACCUUUAGAUCUAUUUGGAAAAAUAGCAAGAAAUCUAAUACUACCUAUAAAAAGAAGAAUAAGGUACGUUCUUGGGUGUUUGUGUUGGUGAGUAGUGUCCACCAGGGGACGCUGUAUGGAGCCUGGUCAUUUGACUAGGGUAGAUGGCUCCAUUAGCUGCAGAUUUCACACUUAAUAUAAAAAUUUAGGUUCUAGAUCACACUCCCCUAAUCAUUGUUGCAUUCGUAUGCAUGCUGAUUCUAUCAAGAGAUAAGAAGCAAGAGAACAACAGGGUUCCCUCAAAGUCUAGUACACACCCAGCCUCCUCUUUAAAUCCUCUCUCCCACCCAAAUCCUAGUUCUUACUAGCUUGUUGUGGAUCUGAAAAGGUUUACUUAAACUCGUUGUGAAGCUUGUGCAACCUCGUGGAAGGCAAUGAUUUAUGUGUGUUCAUGCUCUACUAUGUAAAGUUGACCUUUUUUCCUUUUUUUAAUUUAUAAUUUCCUGUUCCUUAUUUCACAGGCUAAAAACUGAAUACAGAGGCUGUAUUUCCCUGUGGAAGUCAUCUAUUUCCAUGGCGAACCAGACAUGUCUAGAAAGACUGAUUGUUCUGAAAUAAUAUUUUUCAUUAUAAAUAAACCCUUUCUAAGCUUUAAAAUUAGAUAAGACUAUUUUAUGAAAGUUCAAGGUAGCAUUAAUCCGAUGGCACUCGUCAAUGUCAAAUGUAUAAAAGUCAGUUUUCAUAAGUCGUGCAUGUGAAAUACAUGAUUUGAAAGAAUCAUAUUCUUUACCUAAGACUCUUCCUUCAUAAAUAUGCCUAUAGUUGUGGAAAAAUAGGGAUUUUUGGAAAUAAUAACCAUUUCCUAAAAGACAACAUCCCUAAAAAUUGGUCUCUUCCCCAAAUGAGGAAACUUCUGAUCCCUCAAUUGCACCAUGAAUAAGCCCCAUGGGAAAUAGAAGAGGUGUGGUUGAUAGAUGUGUGGAUGAGACAUUGGGUUAGUUUAGUUGUAUGUGCCAUGAAAACAUGGUGCAGACUUUGGGAGCACACACUGGGAAUUAGCUAUGCCAGAAUUCUCUGUGGAGAACCUGCUUUUUCCAGAUGUGUGACCUGGGGCAAAUCUGCUAAACCUACUGUGCAACUUAGUUUUCCCUUGUGUAAGAGAAAAAUAAAAAUAGCACCUAGCUCAUUUGAUGAGCUUUGAGUGAGCUGCCACAUGUCAAGUAUUUCAGGACAAUGUAUUCUUCAUAAAAGUAAGUAUUAGGGGCUGGUAUACUGUCAUUGUUAGUGUUAGGACUGUCACUAUCUCACUUAUGAUGUAAGAAAAAUAUAAAAGAAAAAAGGAACGCUUUAAAUCUCCUUAUUUUGACUCAAAAAAAACCAACUUCAUUCUUCUGUAUACAAAUGUAGCCCCAGGAGGCAUCAUGGCAAAUUUUUUGAAAGGCACAUUACAGUGGGUGCAUAACACCAUGUUUAUUUUUUAGAAGUAUUUCUAUUGAUGAAUUAUUAAUUUUAAUUUUAUGAGUAUUUUUAUAUUAAACAAUGUAUACUUAACAGGAGAAUAAAAUAUCAAUAAAAUAUUAAAUUUUUAAUAUGUAAUGAGUGUUUAGAAUAAACAUCAACAUUUUCAAAAUCAACUCUUUAGCUGCUUACAAGAUCUAAAAAAUAACAGCAGAGGGCCAGGGAUUUAGUUCAGUGAUUCCACCGCCUGCCUCACAAGCGCAAGGACCUGGAUUCAAUUCCCGGUACCACAAAAAAAAAAUAAAAUAAAUAACAGCAGAAAUAAAUUCCUAUAUGAACUACAAAAAAAAUACAAAGAAAACUCUACCACAGAAAUAAUCUUUGCUUCAAUUAUUAUACCUAAGGCAGUCUUUACACAUGAGCAUAGCAUGUUCCAUACUCAAGUAUCACACAGAUAGCACAUGUGUUUUGUUCUCCUGUCUUUUUUGGUAGGACAAAGUUGACAUCUUGCUGGUCUUCCUGUCUUCUUAGGAGAUUCUUGUGAUGUUUCACCUGUUUAUUGGUCUGCUUCAGAAUACUUUUUUUUUUUUUUGGUACUGGGGAUCAAACUCAGGAUCUUGCACUUGUGAGGCAGGCGGUAGAACCACUGAACUAAAUCCCCGGCCCCUCCAGAAUACUUUUGAGAAGUUCUUUGGUCAGAUACAUAUUGUUCUUCCUCUGUUGUAAUUGAUCAUUUAUCAAUUUCAGUGCCAAUCCUCUAAGAAAAUUUCUCCAUGAUAUUUUGUGCUUGUUAUUUUCUUUGUAAACUAUGAAACUAUUAAUGGCUCACAUGUUUAGAAUUGAGUAAAACACAACCAUUGAUCAAUGUUUUGUGUUUUGAGUGACAUUACACUUGCUGCUCUGCCUUUCAUUUUAUUGUAAAAUGUGACUAUUGCUGGUUCAUUUGUGUUAAGGAUUCACUAUCAAUCUUUUGUUUGUGUGUGUGUUUUGAGAUAGGGUCUGCCUAUGUAGUCCAGGCUAGCCUUGAACUCACUAUCCUGCCUCAGCCUCCUGAGUGCUGGGAUUACAGGCAUGUACUACCAUCCCAGGCCUCACUAUCACUCUUAUCAUAAUGGUAUAACAUUGACAGUAUCAAUAUUACUUUAUUUUUCUUGGACAUAUAGAAGGCCAAUGUAAAGAUCUGGUGGCUGAGUUCCAGGAUACAUUUCUAAAUUCAAAGUGUAAAAUGUCUUUGUAUCUACCAGGGCAUAUAUUUUUAUACCAUAUUUGGAAGAUGCACUUGGCACGUAUUGCCAAAAGCUUCAACAACCACAAAAUGAUCCAAGUUGUUUGUCAGUUGUUGUGCAUUCAGAUGGUGUAUAAAUUGCUUGACACUUUGAAAUAAAGCUUUCAAAAAAUGAGUGAAUAGCAGCCAAAUUGUCAGGGGGUUUUUUGUUUUGUUUU
rnacentral:lncRNA from 1 species